CUGUCUUGUUACGUUGGUUCUCUGAGCAAAUGCACAGCAAUGGCCUUUCCGAGUGAGCUGCUCCUUUAAGAUGACUACUCCUUGGUUAACUUUAAGAUCUACUCCAGUAUCCUGAGCAGAUCUUAAGUCGGUCAUGGGCCCGCUUCAGUAGCAAAGCCUGCAGAUCAAAGGAAAAUGGCUCUUAAAACUUGUACCUCCUGGUCCCCAAACCAAGAGAACGGGUCUGUUCUUCUGAUCAGGAAAAUGAACUGAUGAAGCCUAACCAGGGGAGACAGGUGUCAUGUUCCCUGUCACUCCUGAGUCACACAUCCAGACCCUCCAUUUUGAGAGUGUUGGGCUUACGGGAAGCGGAGCACAUGCUCUGGGCUUCAAGCUGCCUGUCUGAAGGCUCCAGGACGCUGACUCUUGGAUGAGGUCUGGCCUCAGGUCACCCUUGGCUUCUGCCUGAUGCUGUCUGUGAGUGAGGAGCAAGCCUUUACCAGAUCCUAGUGGGUGCUACCUGGUCCUCAGACAAGCAGUCCCAUAAGUAAAACUACCCACUGGGCCAAUGGCACAUCUGUCCUGUGUUGCUGUAGUGAGCGGAGCUUUAGGGGGCCGCCUGCCAGCCUUGCCCACCCGCCUGCCUGCCGCAUGUGUAUCCUCACACCACACCGCUCGCUCCAAAUGAGCGCUCCCUCUUCCAUUGCCCUUCACCAGCCCCAGGAUGAUGGGAUGAGGCAGUUACUAGAAGGGCAGGAAGCUUGAAGCUCUUGCAGCUGAAAAGGUUCCUGCCCAGCCUGUGCCUCACCAGGCAGAACCAGUCAGAGGCGGGUCCAGACUUACAUUUGGAAACUUAACUCCUCAGAGCUUCUGCCCGCGGUUGGGGGAUUUUACACCUGCUCAUUCAAAGGUGAGAACCGCCCGCCCCACGAGGACUCACACCCUUGCACCCCAGUACUAAGCAGCCUCGGAGCAUGGUGGGAGUCUCCAUUGCUGGGUUUCUGCUUCGAUUUCCUUUUUCCUGUAGAGAAACGUCAAAGCUGAGAAAGAUGGCUUCCCUCCCUGACCUGACUGUAAAUAAUGUACUUAGACUGUUUUUAAAUGUGUUUCUUCACGAAGGCUUCGUUUGGCUGAGGGAGCCUAUAUCACUCGUGUAAGUUGGUAUUUGGGCACUUUAUAUUUUUCUAAAAAUGUGUUUUGGAUCCUGUACUCUAAUAAAUCAUAAGUUUCUUUUUAAAAAUUUUUCCAAAAGUUUUCUCCAUUUUCAAAAACCCUGUUAUAAAAAGUAGAACUUUCACAAUGUUAAAAUACUAAAUAUUUGGUUAUAGCAACUUCUCUUCUAAUGAAUGCCAAGGGUCUUUUUUUUUUCUUUUCUUUUCUUUUUCUUUUUCUUUUGUACAACAAUUAAUAAACGAACUUGCCGAG
rnacentral:lncRNA from 1 species